rnacentral:ncRNA from 19 species
UUUAAAAAAUAUGAUUUAUGUUCUUUCUGCGCGAAGCUUUGCGAAUUGCGGGUAUUUGGGCAGAAAGCUAAGAUGGAAGCAGGUGAGAAUCCUGCGCGGGUCCGCCACUGUAUUGACGGAGCUUUAUCUGCAUAUGCCACUGAAUCUUUCAUAUUUGGGAAGGCGCGAUAAAGUGUUGAUGUCUAAGUCAGGAGACAUGCAUAGAUUAACGAUUUGCUG